rnacentral:rRNA from 1 species
UGGGUAACCUGCCUCAAAGAGGGGAAUAGCCUCCCGAAAGGGAGAUUAAUACCGCAUAAUAUGUUUAAGUCGCAUGACUUUAACAUCAAAGGAUUUUCUUUUAAGAAAUUCCACUUUGAGAUGGACCCGCGGUGCAUUAGCUAGUUGGUGAGGUAACGGCUCACCAAGGCAACGAUGCGUAGCCGACCUGAGAGGGUGAUCGGCCACAUUGGAACUGAGACACGGUCCAGACUCCGUAGGGACG